GACGAACGCUGGCGGCGGGCUUAACACAUGCAAGUCGAACGGAGUGGCGAACGGGUGAGUAACACGUGGGUGACCUGACCUGCAGUUCGGGAUAAGCCUGGGAAACUGGGACUAAUACCGGAUAGUGUGGGAUGGGCCUGCGGCCUAUCAGCUUGUUGGUGGGGUAAUGGCCUACCAAGGCGGCGACGGGGAGCCGGCCGGGGAGGGUGGACGGCCACAUUGUGACUUAUACACGGCCCAGACUCCUACGGUAGGCAGCAGUGGGUAAUCUUGCACAAUGGGCGGAAGCCUGAGGCAGCGACGCUGCGUGUGGGAUGACGGCCUUCUGGUUGUAAACUCCUUUCACCAUCGACGCGGUAGAUGGAGAAGAAGCACCGGCUAACUACGUGCCAGCAGCCGCGGUAAUAC
rnacentral:rRNA from 1 species